UACAGAGGGUGCAAGCGUUAUUCGGAAUUACUGGGCGUAAAGCGCGCGUAGGUGGUUUGUUAAGUUGGAUGUGAAAGCCCCGGGCUCAACCUGGGAACUGCAUUCAAAACUGACAAGCUAGAGUAUGGUAGAGGGUGGUGGAAUUUCCUGUGUAGCGGUGAAAUGCGUAGAUAUAGGAAGGAACACCAGUGGCGAAGGCGACCACCUGGACUGAUACUGACACUGAGGUGCGAAAGCGUGGGGAGCAAACAGG
rnacentral:rRNA from 1 species